GAGCUUUCCACGAGCAGGUCACCUGCACGACGGCUGUCAAGGCUCGUGAUUCGCCUCUGGGUAAACCAAUCUCCGCGCAGGGGGAACACAGUUUCCACGGCCAAGCUCGGCGACGGAUCCGCGUCCCGCAAAAUGAAGGAAGUAAUAGAAAUGAUGCAGAUAUGCUUUGAGCAGAAGUGAGAAGCCAGAGCUCAUCUUUAAGAAUACUCGCUAGCUGCAGGGGAUUCAGCAUAAUGAACUUCUUUGUGCGUGUGUCAGAGGAGGAGAAGAGGAAUGUUAAACCAUAAACUAAGAAAACACGGUUGUUAAGUGUUUUCUAGACAUUGACUUCGUGGG